rnacentral:rRNA from 1 species
UACGGAGGGUGCAAGCGUUAUCCGGAUUCACUGGGUUUAAAGGGUGCGUAGGAGGGCAGGUAAGUCAGUGGUGAAAUCCUGGGGCUUAACCCCAGAACUGCCGUUGAUACUAUCGGUCUUGAACGUCGUGGAGGUGAGCGGAAUAUGUCAUGUAGCGGUGAAAUGCUUAGAUAUGACAUAGAACACCGAUUGCGAAGGCAGCUCGCUACACCUGCAUUGACUCUGAGGCACGAAAGCGUGGGGAUCAAACAGG